rnacentral:lncRNA from 1 species
UCCAUCUUUCAAUCGAUUCGAUAUCAGCAAUGACGUUCAACAUCUAUCCAAUUGGUGAAAAAUUUUAUAUAAUUGAGUCGAAUUGAUUAUUAGUUAAUCGAUGUAGUUUUCUUAAUUGAUUUAUGGAUGAGAAGGUAAGAUAGUUGGUUAAGUACCCCAACAGGACAAUGAGAGCCCCUGUUCUCUUCCCGGAAACGAGCAAUCACGUGACG